GAAACUCCGUGAUGGUUGGAGUAUUUCUGGUCUUCUGGGUAAAGCCUGAUACAAUUGAAUAAACAAAAUCUGAUUGCCUUUGACUGGUUUUUAAGUUUAAUUUCGGGUCGAGGUCACUGAAGAGAAGGUGGAACAGUGAAUUCUUAUACGUCUAUCUGUACAUAUCUGAGUCUAAUCGAAAAGGAAUAGUUUAAGGGGAGAAAAUUCUGUGUUGAUUAAAGCUACAAUUAAAAGGGACAACGGUUCAUUGAUCAACUUGAACUUCUCGUUCGUAUAUAUAUUUAAAUAAAGUUUAUUUUGAAGCAUUUUGCACAACACUGCUCUACACAUCUGCUUACGUAAGUAAAAUAUCCCGCAACGCAAGAUCCGCUUCGAUAUAGUCAUAUAUAUUUAUAUGUACACAUCUUAUACAGAGACCAAGUUCGUUGGAUUAUUAAUGUACAAUAGUGAGAGCUGCCAGUGUGAGUUCUCGGAUCCCUCCCAAGCUCUUGUCGUCACUUGGUUUUAGGCCGGUAUUCAUAGUCAAUUCUUCUUUCAGGGUGUCUCAAGUAAUGUCUUAAGAUGUUAAUACGACUUUGCGAUUGAUUAAUGACAUCUUGAGAUAGUAUACUUAAAUGAUCCUUAAAUAUAAGAUUCGACUAUGAAUACCAGCCUUCGAGUCGCUCGACCGCAAUUUUCUUUUUUCUUUUUUUUUGGUCGCGCCUCUCCUUACAGUGACUGACUAGGUCAGUAUACAUUGUUUUUUUUUCUUUUUUUAAGUCAACGCAGCGAUUUGCAAUAAGAUUCAGCUAUGAAUAAAACGGCGAAUAUCAAAAAAACA